UACGUAGGGGGCAAGCGUUAUCCGGAUUUACUGGGUGUAAAGGGAGCGUAGACGGCGAUGCAAGCCAGAUGUGAAAGCCCGGGGCUCAACCCCGGGACUGCAUUGGGAACUGCCCCGCUCGAGUGCCGGAGGGGCAGGCGGAAUUCCUAGUGUAGCGGUGAAAUGCGUAGAUAUACGGAGGAACACCAGUGGCGAAGGCGGCCUGCUGGACAAUAACUGACGCUGAGGCGCGAAAGCGUGGGUAGCAAACAGG
rnacentral:rRNA from 1 species